ensembl:piRNA 21ur-2514 ncRNA
GCUGUUAGUAGAUCCAUUGAA